UUUGCACAUAUAACCCAAAGGUCAUUAUCUUUCCUGUGUAUUGACCUUGUCUGAUGUGCGCAUAUCAUCUGUACCUUGUCGCCUUUCAAGAGCUGAUGUGCUCCUGACAGUGAAUAUUAAGGUAUUACAUCU